AGAACGAACGCUGGCGGCAUGCCUAACACAUGCAAGUCGAACGGGCACCUUCGGGUGCUAGUGGCGCACGGGUGCGUAACGCGUGGGGAUCUGCCCUUAGGUACGGAAUAACUCAGGGAAACUUGAGCUAAUACCGUAUAAUGACUUCGGUCCAAAGAUUUAUCGCCUAGGGAUGAACCCGCGUAGGAUUAGCUUGUUGGUGAGGUAAAGGCUCACCAAGGCGACGAUCCUUAGCUGGUCUGAGAGGAUGAUCAGCCACACUGGACUGAGACACGGCCCAGACUCCUACGGGAGCAGCAGUGGGGAAUA
rnacentral:rRNA from 1 species